ensembl:processed_transcript Gm17106 predicted gene 17106
UUUUUUUGUUUUGUUUUGUUUUUUUGUUUUUUCGAGACAGGGUUUCUCUAUGUAGUCCUGGCUGUCCUGGAACUCACUCUGUAGACCAGGCUGGCCUCAAACUCAGAAAUCCGCCUGCCUCUGCCUCCCAAGUGCUGGGAUUAAAGCAAGUUCCAGGACAGUCAGGGCUACACAGAGAAACUGUCUCCAACCCCUCAACCCACCAAUCACCUCAAAACAAACAAACAAACAAAAAAACAAACAAACAAACAAACACCAAAAAACCCGAAUGAAAAAACAAAAACAAAAACCCAACCUUACCUGAUUGUGACUUGGUGGCAUUGAUAACACCAAAGAUGGCUCAACUGGAACCCUGGCCCCCCCAAAUAAAAGUAAGAACUCAGUGACAAGGUAAGGAGGGAUAAGGAAAAUACGUAAAAUUUCCAUUUUUAACAGAAGUUUCUGUCAUAAAGGGAAGCUGUUAGGUCUACAUUGA